rnacentral:rRNA from 1 species
CCAAUAGCGUAUAUUAAAGUUGUUGCAGUUAAAAAGCUCGUAGUUGAAUUUCGGGAUCAGUACGCUGGUCAUGCCUUUGGUAUGCACUGGUGUCACUGGUUUCUCCCUUCUGAAGAUCCGUGAUGUCAUUAAUUUGGUGUCGCGGGGAAUCAGGACUGUUACUUUGAAAAAAUUAGAGUGUUUAAAGCAGGCUCACGCUUGAAUACAUUAGCAUGGAAUAAUGAAAUAGGACGUUUGACCCUAUUUUGUUGGUUUCUAGGAUCGACGUAAUGAUUAAUAGG